GCAGCCUCGCCGCCCUAGCCCGCCGCUUCCCGGCGCUCAGCCUCUGCGCCAGAGGCGAGCGCUGCGCUCCGGGCGCCGCAAUCCUGAGGACACGGCCUCUUCGACACCUCCAGCCCCGGGGAAUCGGCAGUAUCAGCGGCGGGAGCGGCCGCAGCCGCCUCGGCUCCUCUCUGGAGUCCUUCCCAUCACCUCGCUGAGAGCCUGUCCCAGCCACGGGGACAUCUCUUUCGUCCUUCCUCGUCGGCUUGUGGGACCGACGGACGAAAGCGGGGACCGAGGGCCGGACCGCAGGCAGCGACAAGCACCUGGUGGACGGUGUUCCCGAGCACCUUCUGAAAUUACUACUCGCACCUUUCCUGGGACACUUUCUUAAAAGGACCAGCAAGCCUCCAGUUGACGUGGCUAGAAUCCCAGAUUCAUGGAGCUGUUGAAGAGCACAUCUCAGUGGUCUCCCUAAGUCUGGCUGAGCAUCACACACCAGAGGGACAUCGGACUUAAAAAAAACAAAAACAAAAACUGCAGCGUUUGGAUCUUUUCCUGCCUUAAAAGCAAGAAAAAUGGAAAAUUGAUAAUCAAAGGUAAAACUAUCUCCUUUCCCUUUAAGUAACCUCUCUUUACAGCUUCCUCUUCAAUCACUCUGUGUGAGGAAACUUUUUUUUCUUCUUUUGAUCGCGUGAUGUAAUUGAAUACAAAUAUUUCUGGUUUGUACUCCAGACAUAUUAAUAUGCUGCUGACGUAGGAAGUCUGUGUUGUUUUGUUGUUUUAACUCCUUAGUUGCCUGUUCAGAAUCUGGACCAGAUGGGUUUUAUAUGUUUAAUCUUCAUUCUUGGUGUGGAUCUAGAGUGGCAGAUCAGGAAAGUGCCAUUUUUGUAAAUUUCUGGGCCAAAAUGUUGUACUUGGGGUUAGGCGUGGAAUUGUGGAAGUGGAUGACAUAGUACGUAUCAGCUUCUCUUUUCUUCGCGCGCUGGACAGAUUUGCAUCUAUCAUCACAGCCAGGAUCAAGUUAAGCUCUGUGAGGUAAGAAUGGAGACACUUGAUGGGAUGCUGUGGUCUCCACUCCUUUCAUUUUAUGAUGUAGUUGAAGGAAAGAAUAAAGAAAGGUCUUAACGAUACAAAAAUAAAAAACACUGCAUUCAUGGUAUCAGACUAAAGGGGAUUGGUAUUGCGGAGUGUAUCAAUAAUCCAUCAUCUUUGUUUUGGUUGCUUGCCUGGGACAACGGAAGGGGCAUGAUCAUUUACUGGUGAUCCAGAGGAAUGGGGAGACUGAAGGGGGGACGAAGUAAAGACCCACACAAGAGCAGAUGAAUGAUUUCUCCUCUGUGGACAUGGGGACAUGUUUCCCCUGGGACUUCCAAGAGGGUCUGGGGGUCCCUCUUAGAAUUUCUUCUUGAAGGAUGUAUAGCUAAAUGUUCAUCCACUGGCUUUACCCCCUUGGUUGUAGAUUGCUCCCGGAUCAUUAACUCCGACACAAUUCUGGGCUGGGCUGGCACUUGUCUCUUGUCAUAGACACUAUAAAGGCAAAGAGAAUCAGAAUUGGCCUAGAAUUGGCCAAGGCAGCAAUCAGAGGUGGGCCAAGGGGGUGUGAUGCAGGGCACUAGUGGUGUCUGUUGUAGUUCUUUUCACUUUAUUUUCAAUUAUCAAUUAAAUCACAAUGAUCCUCCUAAACGAACUAUUUUUGUGUUUUAAAGACAGUGGAGAGUUCUAUCCAAAUGGCGUAGGAGCAAAGCAACCUCUGUUUCAAAACUAACCUCUUCCUUAAUAAAUUGUCCAUGUUCAAAGUGAAAGAAAGGUACAUCUUGGUCCAUAGGUACCUUUGCCAUUAUAUAGUAAGACCUGAAGUAUGGCCAAAUUAGUGGACUAGAGAUAUAAUAGAAUAACAUUUUGUAAUACCUUACUGCUCACCAUUAUGUUGAUUUCUGUACAAGAAGGUAUCUGUGGAUAUGUAAAAAUAUAUUUAUUGUCUUUCCUCUUUGGAAACAAUCCCAUGAGCAGGGUCAGUAUUUGUGUGAAAAGUAUGACUUAACUGAUGCAUGUCCAAGCAUAAAGUUACAAGGAUGGUCUGCUGGCAAAAUAGAUUUGACACAUUAAAGUGAAUUGGAGUUUUUUUCCCCACCUUGAGGACAUUCAGUAGAUUAAAGAAAGCUAAGUAAAGGCUAGGGUUGUGUGGUGACCCAGAAGAUCCUUUGUGCAAAGGAGGAAUGUAUUCUGUGAAUUCUUUAAGGAUCAGCUAUUAAAGCAAGUGGACAAGCAAACAUUUCACCUGAUGCACAUUUCCAUGCAAAUUUAUAAUUAAGGGAAUGAAAAUGGAGAGAUGAAGGGAAAGGGCAGCAGAAGGAAGCAGAGCAGAGGAACCAAGGAAGCAGUGACAGGUGGCAAGGCAGACAUCCUCAGAGUGGGCAGAAUCAAACUAGAGAAGGAAGAGAAUCCCACCACAGUGGAGAGAUACAUCUUAGGGCAGAGCACAUCCAGACUGAGCGAGUGGCCCCAGUUCUUUUGAGGUCUGAUAUAUCCCUAGGUCAUCACGGAAAAAGUCAAUCACUUUGGCUUCUCACCUGAACAGUGCAGUUGCUUCUCAACCGUCUUCCUCUUGGUGGUGGCAGUAGGCUCUAAAAUGCUCCUUACACAAAAGUUCUGAUCAUGUCUGGUCUUGCCUCAGAAAAUUUAUUUUUUUUAUUUAUUUUUAUUUUUUAUUUUAUAUUUUUGCUAUUUUAGGGCUGUACCUGUGGCACAUGGAGGUUCUCAGGCUAGGGGUGGCAUCACAGCUAUAGCCACUGGCCACAGCCACAGCCACAUCAACGGGCAAUCCAAGCCAUGUCUGCAACCUACACCACAGCUCACGGCAACAUCAGAUCCUUAACCCACUGAGCGAGGCCAAGGACCAAACCUGAAUCCUCAUGGAUCCUAGUUAGGUUCGUUAACCACUGAGCCAUGAUGGGAACUCCCGUCCAAACUUCUUCAUCAAAUCUUUAAAACAUGCCCCUCUAAGUUUUCAGACUUAUUUUUUUGAUUCCUUGACUUCACUUACCAUGGGUCUAGACCCUUGGUCAGUAAGGCAAAUUCUGUGAUCUAUCAACUCAUCUACAUGAUUUGGAUGCAUUUGGUUCUCAAGCAUAGGUUGGUCUGGGACAGGGCCCAAGAAUUGGCAUAGCGAAAACGUUCCCAGACUUUGUUGCUGCUGGUGGUCCAAAAACCUUACUUUGAGAAUCUUUCUAUAAAACAAAGGGUCCAGGCUGGCCCUAUAAUUUCUACAUUGCAGUUAGAGUCAAAGAGUAACAGCCUUAAAAAGGCUGCCAACAUCACCCUUGUGGAGAAGUGUACUAAUUUAAGAAUAGGGUCUGUCUUCGUCAGAUACCAUCUUAAGGUCAUAAAAGUCCCCAUGAUAAGCUUUGUGAUAUAUUUUGUUAUCCCCCGCUGUGUUACAGAAUCAUACAUAUUUUUUGGAUGGUUGGAUGGAUAGAUGGAUGGAUAGCUGGGUGGAAGGGAGGAAGGAAAGAAGAAGAGAGGGAGGGAUGCCUGCACAAAUUUGACAACUAAGGGUUGGUUUCAGCAAGAAUCUUAACACUUACAAAGAACCUGUUCUGGCAUAUGCCAUUAGGGAGAGACUAAUUGCCUUCACAUGAAAAUCGUACUCAAUAUAUCAGACAUUUGAUUAGGUGGAAUACUGUGUAUUCAGAGCCUGAAUGUCUGGGUAUCAAUAGUCCUGUGCUCUUUAAUAAGCACAGUCUUUCACAAAAGACUUCUUGCUCUUUGAUUGAGUACAACACGGGGGAGAGGUCAUUUAUACCAAGAGAAAUUGUACAUUUUACUUUAUAAAAGAGCCAGAGGCUAUGUGAAACCAGGAAAUCACAUCUUUUUAAUAAAUUGCUUUGCAAAUGUCUCUUCCUUGAGUUUAAAUUUUGCAGCUGCAGCAUAAUUUGCAUGUUUAUUCCCAUUUAGGCCAAUUGUGCAUUCUGGUUUUUUGCUUUCUUGCAUUCAAAUGUGUUCACGUAUCAAUGUUGCACAUCUUCUCUCUGCAUCUUUUAUGUGCAUUCAUCAACCCAUGAUUGGCUUGGUAAAUUUAUCCUACUUUUCUUGCUAAAAUAACUGUUCCUGCUGUCUGUUUUCUGCCUACUCUUUGAUUUAUUCUAGAAAUUGGGCUCAAUGCCUACCUUUAGAGCUCAGUGUGAAAUUUAUUCUGUAUGUUUUUAAACCCAGUUCUAACAUUUUUUUUCCUGAUAUGGGUUCUGUAGUGGCAUUAGCUUCAAAGUGCACCCUUGAAAGAGCCUCAUUAUGUAUUAGCGUAAAAAAAUAGUGAUGAAUGAAAACAUGAAUCUCAAAAAUUUCUUUUAAAAGUGAAUUUCAUAUUUCACCUUAACAGGGGAAAAUUAAAAUUUUCAUAUCCUGCUAUGCCAUGCCUAAUAUUAAGCAUAAAGGAAUGAAUCUAGUUCCAAAUUUGUUAUUACCUUGAUAUGUCCUUGUCUGGAGUCUUUAGGCUUUAGCUACCUCCAUUAUAAAAAGAAGGAUUUAGGAUAAAUGUCCCUAAGGGAUUCAUUCCAGUUCUUGAUUUUACAGUCUCAGGAUGCAGGUUAUAUGAAAUACUAUUUAUAAAUCAAACACAACAGUAUGAAAAGUCAGUUCGUCAAAUAAUAUGGCACCUAUUUGGCAAUAAAGUUGAAAGAGCAGAGUUUUGAGUAUUGAAAGAUCUGCAUUCAAACCCUCGCUCUUUCACUUAUAUGAGUUUGGAGAAUUUAUGGAAUCACCCUAUGUUCCUUUAGUAUCUUCAUCUGUAAAAUGCGAGCUGUGCUGUAACUAUCUGCAAGGUCACUUUAAAGACUAGGGAUAAUCUGAAAACUAUCUAGCACUUACCUGCUCAACAUAGCUAGCUGUGAAGAUCACUACAGGCAUCUAAGCUGAACCAGAGUCCAAACUAUGGUUUCCGAGGUUCAUGGAGAGCCUGUCCUUCUCUACUAUAAUUCUCCAAGGCUAAGAAAUGUUCAUUUGUGACUCUAAAAGAUGAAUCCAGUUUGGAAAAUGUCUCCAUAAUUUAGUCAUCUGAGACUAGCAAGACUAGUGGGAAAAUUCAACAUAGGUUUUCAAGCAGACAGGGCAUCUUGUUGUAUACGCUGGGGGUGAUUACACAGAGCAAGCAAGGCCUUUUCAUCAACACUGACUUCUUCAGGGAGUUACCAUCAUGGCUCAGCAAAUUAUGGCCCUGACUAGCAUCCAUGGGGAAGAGGGCUGUUUCCCUGGCCUCGCUUAGUGGGCUAAGGAUCCAUCGUUGCCUUGAGCUGUGGUGUAGGUCGCAGGCAUAGCUCAGAUCCCCCGUUGCUGUGGCUGUGGUGUAGGCCAGCAGCUGCAGGUCCCAUUGGACCCCUAGCCUGGGUACCUCCAUGUGCUGUGGGUGUGGCUCUAAAAAGCAAAAAACAAAAACAAAAA
rnacentral:lncRNA from 1 species